UACGUAGGGUGCAAGCGUUGUCCGGAAUUAUUGGGCGUAAAGAGCUCGUAGGCGGUUUGUCGCGUCUGCUGUGAAAACGCGAGGCUCAACCUCGCGCCUGCAGUGGGUACGGGCAGACUAGAGUGCGGUAGGGGAGAUUGGAAUUCCUGGUGUAGCGGUGGAACGCGCAGAUAUCAGGAGGAACACCGAUGGCGAAGGCAGAUCUCUGGGCCGUAACUGACGCUGAGGAGCGAAAGCGUGGGGAGCGAACAGG
rnacentral:rRNA from 1 species